rnacentral:rRNA from 1 species
AGAGUUUGAUCCUGGCUCAGAAUCAACGCUGGCGGCGUGCCUAACACAUGCAAGUCGAACGAGAAAGUGGAGCAAUCCAUGAGUAAAGUGGCGACCGGGUGAGUAACACGUGACUAACCUGCCCUUGAGUGGGGGAUAACCUCGGGAAACCGGGGCUAAUACCGCAUAACAUCGCAAGAUCAAAGGAGCAAUCCGCUGAAGGAGGGGGUCGCGGCUGAUUAGUUAGUUGGUGAGGUAACGGCUCACCAAGACGAAGAUCAGUAGCCGGCCUGAGAGGGCGCACGGCCACACUGGAACUGAAACACGGUCCAGACUCCUACGGGAGGCAGCAGUGGGGAAUUUUGCGCAAUGGGGGAAACCCUGACGCAGCAACGCCGCGUGGAGGAUGAAGUCCCUUGGGAUGUAAACUCCUUUCGAUCGGGACGAUUAUGACGGUACCGGAAGAAGAAGCACCGGCUAACUCUGUGCCAGCAGCCGCGGUAAUACAGAGGGUGCAAGCGUUGUUCGGAAUUAUUGGGCGUAAAGGGCGCGUAGGCGGUGCGGUAAGACUGUGGUGAAAUCUCCGGGCUCAACUCGGAAAUUGCCGCGGUGACUGCCGUGCUGGAGUGUGGGAGAGGUGAGUGGAAUUCCCGGUGUAGCGGUGAAAUGCGUAGAUAUCGGGAGGAACACCUGUGGCGAAAGCGGCUCACUGGACCACAACUGACGCUGAGGCGCGAAAGCUAGGGGAGCAAACAGGAUUAGAUACCCUGGUAGUCCUAGCCCUAAACGAUGAUUGCUUGGUGUGUCGGGUACCCAAUCCCGACGUGCCGCAGCUAACGCGAUAAGCAAUCCGCCUGGGGAGUACGGUCGCAAGACUGAAACUCAAAGGAAUUGACGGGGCCCGCACAAGCGUGGAGCAUGUGGUUCAUUCGACGCAACGCGAGAACCUUACCUGGGCUCGAAAUGGAGUGGACCGGGGGUGGAACU